rnacentral:lncRNA from 1 species
GGACAGCCUGAAAGGACCCAGGUCGCAAGGAGCUGGCACCCUGGGAUCGAGGGAGUGAGAAUCGCUUGAUGUCACCUCACCUGGCACAGGGGCCAGCGCGGGUGACGGGGAGGGACCCUGAGGUGCGUCGUGGUCCUAGACUACCUGUCUACGGUGUCUCAGAGGGAAGCAGUUGGUCCGGCGGGGAGGGGACGCGGCGCCAGCAGCAGCUGCUCACGGAAGGGCUGGAAGGGGCCGCAGGCCGGACCUAGAGCAGCCACCAGAAUCGGAAAACAAGGGUGCUCUGCCCUGGAGCCUCCAGAGCCCAGCCCUGCACACACCUUGGUUUCAGGCCAGGAGACCGCCUGGGGCCUCGGAACGCCAGGGCUGCAGGAUGAAUCGGUGUUGUUUUAAGCCACUGGGCGCGUGCUCACUGUGUCAGCGGUGAUGGAAUACCAGGAAGCAUCAGCUGGAAGGUGGAGUGGGUGGCCGGCAGGACCUCCAGGCCUGGCCCAGAGCACCGACCCUCCUUCUGGCCAUAGGGAGCCAAGUAGGCCCGGGGCUCAGCUCUUCCCGGCAUCGCUGGGGUGGAGUCUCGGGGUGAGGGUGGGGCUUUGAUGGGGAGGAGGGCCUGGCGUGGUUAUCACCCCCAAUCCCACUUUUCCAACCCAGCCUCCGCCUCAAGCCCCAGUCAGGGGAACAGGGGCCAUGGCAGGAGCUUAAGGUCCAAGGGGCCCAGCGAGCUGUCCAUUAGUGCCAGCUGCGGGGAGACCGCCCAGGCAGCCGGACCCUUGACCUUCUCUGCUGGCAUAAUCCUGGAGAGCUUCUCGGCCUGACCAGAGGCAAGGAGGAAGCCUCGGUCCUGGACAGGGUUCUCGUACAGCGGAGAAGCCAGAGCAGACAGGUGUCUGGGGAGAUGACAAAGGAGACCUGUGGUGGGAGACUGCUGCUACGGCACCAGUCCCAGCAGUCAACGAUGGGGCCCAACAAGGCACAGGCCCCGCCGCGUGGGAGAGUCAAGAGACCACAGCAUUUGGGGCUGUCGUCGCCUCUGGUCAGCCGCCGCCACCGCCUGUGUCACUGGACAGCUGGGUUUAAGCACAGGGGAACCACAGCUCGGAAUCUCAGCACGGGUCUCAGCAGGCGAACGGUAGAAAGGGCUCUGGUUGGUGGAGGUCCCGUCAUGGCUCAGUGGUUAACAAACACGACUAGCAUCCGGGAGGGCGAGGGUUUGAUCCCCGGCUUCGCUCAGUGGGUUAAGGAUCUGGUGUUGCCGUGAGCUGUGGUGUAGGUU